CAUUUACAUUAGAAAUACAGAGACGUGACAUAUGAAGUGGAAUAUACAGAGACUGUAACAUUUACAGUGGAAUAUACAGAGACUGUACCUUUUACAGUGGAAUAUACAGAGACUGUACCAUUUACAGUGGAAUAUACAGAGACUGUAACAUUUACAUUAGAAUAUACUGAGAAUAUACUGAGACUCUAACAUUUACAUAGAAU
rnacentral:lncRNA from 1 species